rnacentral:rRNA from 1 species
UGGGGAAUAUUGCACAAUGGGCGCAAGCCUGAUGCAGCCAUGCCGCGUGUGUGAAGAAGGCCUUCGGGUUGUAAAGCACUUUCAGCGGGGAGGAAGGCGAUAAGGUUAAUAACCUUGUCGAUUGACGUUACCCGCAGAAGAAGCACCGGCUAACUCCGUGCCAGCAGCCGCGGUAAUACGGAGGGUGCAAGCGUUAAUCGGAAUUACUGGGCGUAAAGCGCACGCAGGCGGUUGAUUGAGUCAGAUGUGAAAUCCCCGGGCUUAACCCGGGAAUUGCAUCUGAUUCUGGUCAGCUAGAGUCUUGUAGAGGGGGGUAGAAUUCCAUGUGUAGCGGUGAAAUGCGUAGAGAUGUGGAGGAAUACCGGUGGCGAAGGCGGCCCCCUGGACAAAGACUGACGCUCAGGUGCGAAAGCGUGGGGAGCAAACAGG